rnacentral:rRNA from 1 species
UACGUAGGGGCCUAGCGUUGUCCGGAUUUAUUGGGCGUAAAGAGCUCGUAGGCGGUUCGGUAAGUCACUUGUGAAAUCUCCGGGCUUAACCCGGAGCGGCCAAGUGAUACUGUCGUGCUAGAGUUCGGUAGGGGAGACUGGAAUUCCUGGUGUAGCGGUGAAAUGCGCAGAUAUCAGGAGGAACACCGGUGGCGAAGGCGGGUCUCUGGGCCGAUACUGACGCUGAGGAGCGAAAGCGUGGGGAGCGAACAGG